UGCAGGCGAUUCGAAGUGAACAUGCACAUCUAUUCCGCCCGGAGUAAUCACAAGGCCUUCCGCAGAAACAACCUCUGUGGCGCAGCCUAUUAUCAGGCCCGGCGUUAUAUUCAUUGUAUCAGGGUUUCCUGCCUUACCUACUCCUACGACCACUCCAUCCUUGAUGCCGAUAUCUCCCUUUACGAUACCGAUCAUCGGGUCAAUUAUAACAGCAUUGGUGACGCAUACAUCCAGAACACCGUCUUCGGUCGUUUUGCCUGCCAUGUUUCCCAUUCCGUCUC
rnacentral:sRNA from 1 species